rnacentral:rRNA from 1 species
CCUACGGGGGGGCAGCAGUGGGGAAUAUUGGACAAUGGGGGCAACCCUGAUCCAGCCAUGCCGCGUGUGUGAAGAAGGCCCUCGGGUUGUAAAGCACUUUCAGUGAGGAAGAACGCCUGGUGGUUAAUACCCAUCAGGAAAGACAUCACUCACAGAAGAAGCACCGGCUAACUCCGUGCCAGCAGCCGCGGUAAUACGGAGGGUGCGAGCGUUAAUCGGAAUUACUGGGCGUAAAGCGCGCGUAGGUGGCUUGAUAAGCCGGUUGUGAAAGCCCCGGGCUCAACCUGGGAACGGCAUCCGGAACUGUCAAGCUAGAGUGCAGGAGAGGAAGGUAGAAUUCCCGGUGUAGCGGUGAAAUGCGUAGAGAUCGGGAGGAAUACCAGUGGCGAAGGCGGCCUUCUGGACUGACACUGACACUGAGGUGCGAAAGCGUGGGUAGCAAACAGGAUUAGAUACCCGGGUAGUC